rnacentral:rRNA from 1 species
AACCCCUGUGACAUACCUAUACGUUGCCUCGGCGGAUCAGCCCGCGCCCCGUAAAAAGGGACGGCCCGCCCGAGGACCCCUAAACUCUGUUUUUAGUGGAACUUCUGAGUAAAACAAACAAAUAAAUCAAAACUUUCAACAACGGAUCUCUUGGUUCUGGCAUCGAUGAAGAACGCAGCAAAAUGCGAUAAGUAAUGUGAAUUGCAGAAUUCAGUGAAUCAUCGAAUCUUUGAACGCACAUUGCGCCCGCCAGUAUUCUGGCGGGCAUGCCUGUUCGAGCGUCAUUUCAACCCUCAAGCUCAGCUUGGUGUUGGGACUCGCGGUAACCCGCGUUCCCCAAAUCGAUUGGCGGUCACGUCGAGCUUCCAUAGCGUAGUAAUCAUACACCUCGUUACUGGUAAUCGUCGCGGCCACGCCGUAAAACCCCAACUUCUGAAUGUUGACCUCGGAUCAGGUAGGAAUACCCGCUGAACUUAAGCAUAUCAAUAAGGC